UAUCCAGCGCUAUCGAUUGUAUAAUCCAAACGCACAGCUUGCCGUCCGGUUAUACAUAAAUUUAACGCACGCACUGUGUAUCGUGUCCCGCGUGCCUUCGUGUAACUGUCGCAUCCAGUCGAUUCAUGAUCGACUUCCUUUCUCCCGGGGAAUUAUUGCUUGGGUAUCCACUUGUGAUAACUUGUGUGAUAAACCGGCGCAGCCGGUCACCGCACCGUAAACACUUGCUCUCAAAUCUUGCGCGUUAAUUACACGCACCGCGCCCGCACCAGAUAUUAAAUUCUUGCCAGGACUCGUCGGGCAUCGAUCGACCCGCGUACACGAAGGACACGCGCACGCUCCGCCCGAAUACGUGAUUCUUCCGCGCUUCCCGCAAUUAACGCUCAAUUAAUGUCCUCCGUGAGAUCGCGCGCGGCGGUGAAGGGGGAGCGAGGGGGGGGGGAUAGGGAAGGAGGACGCGCCGGAGAUAUGCGCCGCGAUCGAGAGAGACGCCGAGGGACGAACGAGGAGAAUGAAAACGCGGAUCGAUUACCAGAGCGUGCUAUCGUGCAGGCGUAAAAGGCGUAAACGCGUUGUUUUGCGUCGGCGAUAAUGCAACGCGCGAAAUAAUCAAUCGCGCGCGUCUGGUGAUCCCGAAAUUCCUCUUCUCCCUUCCCCUCCCUUGAAAUUUCCAUGUCAAAGGGUUGUAGCCGGAAUCGCUCGAUUCUCUCCUUCCGCGGAUAUGACCCGAACGAAAAUCAUUAAACGGAGAACAGAGAGAUCACGAUACUCUCUCUCCUUCUCGCAGAUACUCUCGGGUUAGAGACCGCGGCGUCCUGUUCGUUAUGUCACCGGAGACGCGUGCCGCGGGAAUUACUUAAUCUCGCAGCGUGAGGUCAUCCCGGCCUCUGGAAAUAGACGGUGACAGUUCGCGGCGAACGCGACAGCGCGGCCGUGCAACACCACGUGCGAGUCGCCGGAGCCUCCCACGACGCGGCGGAUGGGACGAGAAACCGCUUAUAUGAUGAAAUUCGUGCAGCGCGACGGACGCCGCGUUUUUAUCGAGUGCAUACGACGCGCUUGUGUCCCUAGGCACGAAUCUUUUGUCGUUAAUAUGAAAUUAUAGAACAAAUAUUAAUGUAUCGUUAGUAUCUUAUAUUAAGUGACAAUUAUAUUAAAGUGACAAUUUUUUAAAUACAGCUUUAAGCUUGACGCACAUACGUAAAAUUGGUUUUGAGAAUUUAUUGAAUUCUAUAGAGUAAAUUAGGGUAGGACGGCCAAUGGCUAUAAUUUCUUCAAUAAUUGCUUAAUAAUUUCUUCUUGUAAUUAUUUUCAAAGCUAAUCGAUAUUUACUGUAGUUUAUGUGCGUAUAUUAUACUAUUCGAAAUAACACAAUAUUAAGGAUAUUGUAUCACGUUUUUACUUUUGACUGCCUGUAAAGUUUUCUCAUGUGUUCAUUUAAAAAUGUCGCAAUGUCGAAUAAAUUACAGUUGAGCUAUCAAAAUUAACAAAGGCACAUAACGAAGACAUGUAAAUUGCAAUUAUGUAAUGUGUGUAAAUUGUAAUUAUAUAUUUUAUUUCCUUUUCUAUUUUUUAAAUAAAUAUUGUGACUACCUUUCUCUCACAGUUUGGG